GGGGGAUUAGCUCAGCGGCAGAGCGGCGCCUUUACACGGCGAAGGUCACAGGUUCAAAUCCUGCAUCCCCCA
rnacentral:tRNA from 1 species